CCUACGGGUGGCAGCAGUGGGGAAUAUUGCACAAUGGGGGCAACCCUGAUGCAGCGACGCCGCGUGAAGGAAGAAGUAUUUCGGUAUGUAAACUUCUAUCAGCAGGGAAGAAACUGACGGUACCUGACCAAGAAGCCGCGGCUAACUACGUGCCAGCAGCCGCGGGAAUACGGAGGGGGCAAGCGUCAUCCGGAUUUACUGGGUGUAAAGGGAGCGUAGGCGGUUUAGAAAGUCAGAAGUGAAAGCCCGGGGUCCAACCCCGGGACUGCUUUUGAAACUGUUGAACUAGAUGGCAGGAGAGGUAAGCGGAAUUCCUAGUGUAGCGGUGAAAUGCGUAGAUAUUAGGAGGAACACCAGUGGCGAAGGCGGCUUACUGGACUGUAAAUGACGCUGAGGCUCGAAAGCGUGGGGAGCAAACAGGAUUAGAUACCCGAGUAGUC
rnacentral:rRNA from 1 species